rfam:Angiostrongylus cantonensis strain Taiwan genome assembly, scaffold: ACAC_scaffold0004275
UCCGCCGUGGUAUAGUGGAUUUACGGCUCUCACCCGUAAUUCCCGGGUUCGAUUCCCGGCAACGGAA